rfam:Medicago truncatula strain A17 chromosome 5, whole genome shotgun sequence.
CUGUCUCUUGGAGUUCCUCUGAACUCUUCAUCUAAAGGGCUAUAGCAAGAAAGAAAGGAAAAUCCUUGUAUGAUGAAGUGUUUGGGGGAACUCUUGGGUUCAA